rnacentral:rRNA from 1 species
GAUGAACGCUGGCGGCGUGCCUAAUACAUGCAAGUCGAGCGAACAGACGAGGAGCUUGCUCCUCUGACGUUAGCGGCGGACGGGUGAGUAACACGUGGAUAACCUACCUAUAAGACUGGGAUAACUUCGGGAAACCGGAGCUAAUACCGGAUAAUAUAUUGAACCGCAUGGUUCAAUAGUGAAAGACGGUUUUGCUGUCACUUAUAGAUGGAUCCGCGCCGCAUUAGCUAGUUGGUAAGGUAACGGCUUACCAAGGCAACGAUGCGUAGCCGACCUGAGAGGGUGAUCGGCCACACUGGAGCUGAGACACGGUCCAGACUCCUACAGGAGGCAGCAGUAGGGAAUCUUCCGCAGUGGGCGAAAGCCUGAAGGAGCAACGCCGCGUGGGUGAUGAAGGUCUUCGGGUCGUAAAACUCUGUUAUUAGGGAAGAACAAAUGUGUAAGUAACUAUGCACGUCUUGACGGUACCUAAUCAGAAAGCCGCGGCUAACUAC